ACUGCCCUGCAGAUGCGGAUUUGCGGCACCACGGGUGCAGCCGCCCUGCUGCGCCUGUGCCGUUGGGGCAGAGAGGAAGCGGCUAUUUCUACGCUCAGUGCUCAGAACCGUGGGCACUAAGAAUGGUUUGUAGCCGAACAUCA
rnacentral:snoRNA from 1 species